rnacentral:rRNA from 1 species
GACGAACGCUGGCGGCGUGCUUAACACAUGCAAGUCGAACGAUGACGACCGAGCUUGCUCGGUCUGAUUAGUGGCGAACGGGUGAGUAACACGUGAGCAACCUGCCCUUCACUCUGGGAUAACCUCGGGAAAUCGGGGCUAAUACCGGAUAUGAGCUCCUGUCGCAUGGCGGGUGUUGGAAAGUUUUUCGGUGAAGGAUGGGCUCGCGGCCUAUCAGUUUGUUGGUGAGGUAGUGGCUCACCAAGGCGAUGACGGGUAGCCGGCCUGAGAGGGCGACCGGCCACACUGGGACCGAGACACGGCCCAGACUCCUACGGGAGGCAGCAGUGGGGAAUAUUGCACAAUGGGCGAAGGCCUGAUGCAGCGACGCCGCGUGAGGGAUGACGGCCUUCGGGUUGUAAACCUCUUUCAGCAGGGAAGAAGCGAAAGUGACGGUACCUGCAGAAGAAGCGCCGGCUAACUACGUG